UACAGAGGUGGCAAGCGUUGUUCGGAAUUACUGGGCGUAAAGGGCGCGUAGGCGGUCUUUUAAGUCUUGUGUGAAAUCCCUCGGCUCAACUGAGGAACUGCACGGGAUACUGGAAGACUUGAGUUCGGGAGAGGGAAGCGGAAUUCCGGGUGUAGCGGUGAAAUGCGUAGAUAUCCGGAGGAACACCGGUGGCGAAGGCGGCCUGCUGGGCAGUAGCUGACGCUCAUGCACGAAAGCGUGGGGAGCAAACAGG
rnacentral:rRNA from 1 species